UAAACGACUCUCGGCAACGGAUAUCUCGGCUCACGCAUCGAUGAAGAACGUAGCAAAAUGCGAUACUUAGUGUGAAUUGCAGAAUCCCGUGAACCAUCGAGUUUUUGAACGCAAGUUGCGCCCGAAGCCUUUUGGCCGAGGGCACGUCUGCCUGGGCGUCACAC
rnacentral:rRNA from 1 species